rnacentral:rRNA from 1 species
CAGCAGCCACGGGAACACGAAGGGUGCAAGCGUUACUCGGAAUUACUGGGCGUAAAGCGUGCGUAGGUGGUGGUUUAAGUCCGCUGUGAAAGCCCUGGGCUCAACCUGGGAAUUGCAGUGGAUACUGGGUCACUAGAGUGUGGUAGAGGAUAGUGGAAUUUCCGGUGUAGCAGUGAAAUGCGUAGAGAUCGGAAGGAACAUCUGUGGCGAAGGCGACUAUCUGGGCCAACACUGACACUGAGGCACGAAAGCGUGGGGAGCAAACAGGAUUAGAUACCCGCGUAGUCCCUGUCUCUUAUAC